rnacentral:piRNA from 1 species
UGUGGUAUUAGUGCAAUGUUU